rnacentral:rRNA from 1 species
AGUGAACGCUGGCGGUAGGCCUAACACAUGCAAGUCGAACGGCAGCACAGUAAGAGCUUGCUCUUACGGGUGGCGAGUGGCGGACGGGUGAGGAAUACAUCGGAAUCUACUUUUUCGUGGGGGAUAACGUAGGGAAACUUACGCUAAUACCGCAUACGACCUACGGGUGAAAGCAGGGGAUCUUCGGACCUUGCGCGAUUGAAUGAGCCGAUGUCGGAUUAGCUAGUUGGCGGGGUAAAGGCCCACCAAGGCGACGAUCCGUAGCUGGUCUGAGAGGAUGAUCAGGCACACUGGAACUGGGACACGGGUCAGACUCCUACGGGAGGCAGCAGGGGGGAAUAUUGGACAAUGGGCGGAAGCCUUAUCCAGCCAUACCGCGUGGGUGAAGAAGGCCUUCGGGGUGUAAAGCCCUUUUGUUGGGAAAGAAAAGCAGCAGGUUAAUACCCCGCUGUUCUGACGGUACCCAAAGAAUAAGCACCGGCUAACUUCGUG